rnacentral:rRNA from 1 species
AUCUAUGGUCAUGCCACCCUAAACAAGCCCCCACGUCUGAUCUCGGAAGCUAAGCAGGGUCGGGCCUGGUUAAUACUUGGAUGAGAGACUACCUAGGAAGACCAAGUGCUGUAGGCG